UAUAUCGCCGGGGGAGAAACUAGCAUAUCAAUAAGCGGAGGAAAAGAAACCAACAGGGAUUGCCUUUAGUAACGGCGAGUGAAGCGGCAACAGCUCAAAUUUGAAAUCUGGCUCUUUCAGAGUCCGAGUUGUAAUUUGCAGAGGGCGCUUUGGCUUUGGCAGCGGUCCAAGUUCCUUGGAACAGGACGUCACAGAGGGUGAGAAUCCCGUACGUGGUCGCUAGCUAUUGCCGUGUAAAGCCCCUUCGACGAGUCGAGUUGUUUGGGAAUGCAGCUCUAAAUGGGAGGUAAAUUUCUUCUAAAGCUAAAUAUUGGCCAGAGACCGAUAGCGCACAAGUAGAGUGAUCGAAAGAUGAAAAGCACUUUGGAAAGAGAGUCAAACAGCACGUGAAAUUGUUGAAAGGGAAGCGCUUGCAGCCAGACUUGCUUGCAGUUGCUCAUCCGGGCUUUUGCCCGGUGCACUCUUCUGCAGGCAGGCCAGCAUCAGUUUGGGCGGUGGGAUAAAGGUCUCUGACACGUUCCUUCCUUCGGGUUGGCCAUAUAGGGGAGACGUCAUACCACCAGCCUGGACUGAGGUCCGCGCAUCUGCUAGGAUGCUGGCGUAAUGGCUGUAAGCGGCCCGUCUUGAAACACGGACCAAGGAGUCUAACAUCUAUGCGAGUGUUUGGGUGUCAAGCCCGAGCGCGUAAUGAAAGUGAACGGAGGUGGGAACCCGCAAGGGCGCACCAUCGACCGAUCCUGAAGUUUACGGAAGGAUUUGAGUAAGAGCAUGGCUGUUGGGACCCGAAAGAUGGUGAACUAUGCUUGAAUAGGGUGAAGCCAGAGGAAACUCUGGUGGAGGCUCGCAGCGGUUCUGACGUGCAAAUCGAUCGUCAAAUUUGGGCAUAGGGGCGAAAGACUAAUCGAACCUCUAGUUCCUCU
rnacentral:rRNA from 1 species